GACGAACGCUGGCGGCGUGCUUAACACAUGCAAGUCGAACGGAAAGGCCCUGCUUUUGUGUUGUGCUCGAGUGGCGAACGGGUGAGUAACACGUGAGUAACCUGCCCUUGACUUUGGGAUAACUUCUGGAAACUGCGGCUAAUACCGGAUAGGAGCUCCUGCUGCAUGGUUGGGGUUUGAAAGUUUCUUCGGUUUGGGAUGGACUCGCGGCUUAUCAGCUUGUUGGUGGGGUAGUGGCUUACCAAGGCUUUGACGGGUAGCCGGCCUGAGAGGGUGACCGGCCACACUGGGACUGAGAUACGGCCCAGACUCCUACGGGAGGCAGCAGUGGGGAAUAUUGCACAAUGGGCGGAGGCCUGAUGCAGCAACGCCGCGUGAGGGAUGACGGCCUUCGGGUUGUAAACCGCUUUCGGCAGUGAAGAAGCGUGAGUGACGGUAAUGGGAAAAGAAGCACCGGCUAACUACGUG
rnacentral:rRNA from 1 species